GCCUCGUUAGCUCAGUUGGUAGAGCGCGUUGACUUUUUAUAUCCUAACGGUCAGGGUUCGAGUCGCCGCUACGGGGCU